rnacentral:rRNA from 1 species
UACGUAGGUGGCAAGCGUUACUCGGAAUCACUAGGCGUAAAGCGCAGGUAGGCGGUUCGGUAAGUCUCUUGUGGAAGCUCCCGGCUCAACUGGGAGAGGUCAAGGGAAACUGCCGGGCUAGAGUGUGGCAGAGGAAGCUGGAAUUCCCGGUGUAGCGGUGAAAUGCGUAGAUAUCGGGAGGAAUACCUAUGGCGAAAGCAGGCUUCUGGGCCGUCACUGACACUGAUCUGCGAAAGCUAGGGGAGCAAACAGG